UAUCAUGCAAGUAGAACGCUGAAGAGAGGAGCUUGCUCUUCUUGGAUGAGUUGCGAACGGGUGAGUAACGCGUAGGUAACCUGCCUUGUAGCGGGGGAUAACUAUUGGAAACGAUAGCUAAUACCGCAUAACAAUGGAUGACCCAUGUCAUUUAUUUGAAAGGGGCAAAUGCUCCACUACAAGAUGGACCUGCGUUGUAUUAGCUAGUAGGUGAGGUAACGGCUCACCUAGGCGACGAUACAUAGCCGACCUGAGAGGGUGAUCGGCCACACUGGGACUGAGACACGGCCCAGACUCCUACGGGAGGCAGCAGUAGGGAAUCUUCGGCAAUGGGGGCAACCCUGACCGAGCAACGCCGCGUGAGUGAAGAAGGUUUUCGGAUCGUAAAGCUCUGUUGUAAGUCAAGAACGAGUGUGAGAGUGGAAAGUUCACACUGUGACGGUAGCUUACCAGAAAGGGACGGCUAACUACGUGCCAGCAGCCGCGGUAAUACGUAGGUCCCGAGCGUUGUCCGGAUUUAUUGGGCGUAAAGCGAGCGCAGGCGGUUUGAUAAGUCUGAAGUUAAAGGCUGUGGCUCAACCAUAGUUCGCUUUGGAAACUGUCAAACUUGAGUGCAGAAGGGGAGAGUGGAAUUCCAUGUGUAGCGGUGAAAUGCGUAGAUAUAUGGAGGAACACCGGUGGCGAAAGCGGCUCUCUGGUCUGUAACUGACGCUGAGGCUCGAAAGCGUGGGGAGCGAACAGGAUUAGAUACCCUGGUAGUCCACGCCGUAAACGAUGAGUGCUAGGUGUUGGAUCCUUUCCGGGAUUCAGUGCCGCAGCUAACGCAUUAAGCACUCCGCCUGGGGAGUACGACCGCAAGGUUGAAACUCAAAGGAAUUGACGGGGGCCCGCACAAGCGGUGGAGCAUGUGGUUUAAUUCGAAGCAACGCGAAGAACCUUACCAGGUCUUGACAUCCCGAUGCUAUUUCUAGAGAUAGAAAGUUACUUCGGUACAUCGGUGACAGGUGGUGCAUGGUUGUCGUCAGCUCGUGUCGUGAGAUGUUGGGUUAAGUCCCGCAACGAGCGCAACCCCUAUUGUUAGUUGCCAUCAUUCAGUUGGGCACUCUAGCGAGACUGCCGGUAAUAAACCGGAGGAAGGUGGGGAUGACGUCAAAUCAUCAUGCCCCUUAUGACCUGGGCUACACACGUGCUACAAUGGUUGGUACAACGAGUUGCGAGUCGGUGACGGCAAGCUAAUCUCUUAAAGCCAAUCUCAGUUCGGAUUGUAGGCUGCAACUCGCCUACAUGAAGUCGGAAUCGCUAGUAAUCGCGGAUCAGCACGCCGCGGUGAAUACGUUCCCGGGCCUUGUACACACCGCCCGUCACACCACGAGAGUUUGUAACACCCGAAGUCGGUGAGGUAACCUUUGGAGCCAGCCGCCUAAAGUGAU
rnacentral:rRNA from 1 species